rnacentral:rRNA from 1 species
CACGUAGUUAGCCGUGACUUUUCUGGCGGGGCACCAUCAGUCAGCACCCAUUUCCUGAUGCUGCCUUUUUUCCCCCGCAACAGAGCUUUACGACCCGAAGGCCUUCUUCACUCACGCGGCAUCGCUCGUUCAGGCUUGCGCCCAUUGACGAAAAUUCCCUACUGCUGCCUCCCGCAGGAGUCUGGGCCGUGUCUCAGUCCCAAUGUGGCCGUCCGCCCUCUCAGGCCGGCUAUGCAUCAUCGUCUUGGUGGGCCUUUACCCCGCCAACCAACUAAUGCACCGCAGGUCCAUCCGCGCCCCAUCCCCUAAAGGAUGUUUCACAGAAAGAAGAUGCCUCCUUCUGUACAUCGGGAUUUGUUCUCCGUUUCCAGAGCGUAUUCCCGGUGCACGGGCAGGUUCCCUACGUGUUACUCACCCGUUCGCCACUAGACGACCGAAGGUCUCUCGUUCGACUUGCAUGUAUUAGGCAUGCCGCCAGCGUUCACGUCCUGAGCCAGGACUACUAAA